GUUUGUCAGCAACUGACCUGUGGCCUGCCCCCAAGAAUGAUGACCGCUACCUCAUAACCAAAGAUACCUGGAUUGAGAGGUGGCCAGAUGAUGAUGAAUGCCAAGAUGAAAAUUUGGAAGACUUAUGCAAUGACUUCAUUCGGUUUUCCCAUACAUUGACAUUUUUGGGCUGCCAGGUCUAACUGGAGAGGAGUCAACUACACUGUGUUACUCAUGUAAGGCUGGUUUUUUGAGCUGAUGCUCAGAAGACACCUUCCCUCCUUGUUUUCUCUUCUUUCUUUCUUUCUUUCUUUCUUUCUUUCUUUCUUAUUUUUUGCUCUCCAUUUCCCCCCUUCCAAAUGGUUUGUGUAUAAAAAUAAAGGUCUGAUUUCUUUUA